UACGUAGGUGGCAAGCGUUGUCCGGAUUUAUUGGGUUUAAAGGGUGCGCAGGCGGUCUGUUAAGUCAGCGGUCAAAUCGUGGGGCUCAACCCCAUCCAGCCGUUGAAACUGGGGAUCUAGAGUGUGCGAGAGGUAUGCGGAAUGCGUGGUGUAGCGGUGAAAUGCAUAGAUAUCACGCAGAACCCCGAUUGCGAAGGCAGCGUGCCGUGCCGCCACUGACGCUGAGGCACGAAAGCGCGGGGAUCGAACAGG
rnacentral:rRNA from 1 species